UUCUGAAAAGGGGUCGCCGCUCAGGAAUGCAAGGCCCAGAUGAUACAAAUGGUGAGAUGACACCUGAAUGGGUGGACUUUAACCCUCCCCCUCCAACGGGGUGCUGCAUAAACAAUGUGGCUCUCGGGAAUAAAGAGGUGCUGCGGAGCUUUAGGAGGAGAAUGAAACCAGGAGGCCUGAGACGAGGCGUCCACUCUGGGUUACACCCACUCUGCCACGCGGACGCCACGGAAUCACACAGCCUCGGCUUUAGACCACGCGAGCGUUUAAGCAUCCGUGGCCGGGGUUUCCCGCUCCCCUGCCAAACAUGCUGUGGUGGUGUGUGUGUGCUCAGAGAGGGUGAGCCUCCAGAAACGCUGCACCGAUUCACGCUCCGACAACAGCGCAGGGCAGUCCCUAUUUCUGCUCACGACGCCCCGAUGGGCACAGCUCUGUGGGCCCAGUACCUGCCGGGCCGCUACCAUCACUCACGGGCCGCGAACGCAGGUCACCUCGGACCACAGCCCACUGCUGGGUACCAAGGGGGACUGCAAGGGAAAAUCCAUCCAAAGCCUUUUCUUCUUCUGCACCUGGCGGACAGCAGACGCACGGCAUAUAUAACACCAGGCCCAAGAGGUAUAAUUUAUGGAAAAGUAAAACUUACAAAACUGCAUAUAAAACUUAUUAAAAUGAGAAGAUAUUCUCAUGGAUGGGUCAAUUGUUUAAAAAAGGAAAAGAAAAUCUCCAGUCACCAAGGAUCUUAAGAGAAAGACACUGAUGUGAAAAAAAACGACAUUUUCUUUUGUUUACACUAUGUGUGAUCUUGUACAAAUAUCACUUCCCAUGUGGCUGUCUGAAGGAUCUUACCACGACGAAUACACAGGAAGUCUAAUAAUAAGCAAAGUGAACAAUUUGACUGUUUAAAACUUUAGUGGAAGAAGAUGUAAACCCACAUGCAGGAAAGCUAAAUAAGAGUAACAAGUUGGCUGAGAAGGUCACUUGGAUGGUCUCUGGGAAAUACUCUAUCCAAGGACAUGAGUAUGGCAAAUGAUAUAUAUAAUACAUAUGGAAUUAAUCACUUAACCCACAUCUAUUAUUGGGUGGGCCAAAAAGUUUGCUUGGGUUUUUCCAUAGGAUAUAAUGGGAGGGAGGGGACAUAGGAAUACCUAUGGCUGAACCAAGCUGAUGUAUGGCAGAAACCGACACAACUUUGUAAUUAUCCUUCAAUUAAAAAUAAAUAAAGGAAGAAAAAAAG
rnacentral:lncRNA from 1 species